rnacentral:rRNA from 1 species
AACGAACGCUGGCGGCAUGCCUAACACAUGCAAGUCGAACGAGACCUUCGGGUCUAGUGGCGCACGGGUGCGUAACGCGUGGGAACCUGCCCUUAGGUUCGGAAUAACUCCCCGACAGGGGUGCUAAUACCGGAUAAUGUCUUCGGACCAAAGAUUUAUCGCCUUUGGAUGGGCCCGCGUUGGAUUAGCUAGUUGGUAGGGUAAAAGCCUACCAAGGCGACGAUCCAUAGCUGGUCUGAGAGGAUGGUCAGCCACACUGGGACUGAGACACGGCCCAGACUCCUACGGGAGGCAGCAGUGGGGAAUAUUGGACAAUGGGCGAAAGCCUGAACCAGCAAUGCCGCGUGAGUGAUGAAGGCCUUAGGGUUGUAAAGCUCUUUUACCCGGGAUGAUAAUGACAGUACCGGGAGAAUAAGCACCGGCUAACUCCGUG